rnacentral:rRNA from 1 species
UAAUACGUAGGGUGCGAGCGUUAAUCGGAAUUACUGGGCGUAAAGCGUGCGCAGGCGGUGAUGUAAGACCGAUGUGAAAUCCCCGGGCUUAACCUGGGAACUGCAUUGGUGACUGCAUUGCUGGAGUAUGGCAGAGGGGGGUGGAAUUCCACGUGUAGCAGUGAAAUGCGUAGAGAUGUGGAGGAACACCGAUGGCGAAGGCAGCCCCCUGGGCCAAUACUGACGCUCAUGCACGAAAGCGUGGGGAGCAAACAGGAUUAGAUACCCUGGUAGUCCACGCCCUAAACGAUGUCAACUGGUUGUCGGGCCUUCAUUGGCUUGGUAACGUAGCUAACGCGUGAAGUUGACCGCCUGGGGAGUACGGUCGCAAGAUUAAA